rnacentral:lncRNA from 1 species
UACAAUACACCAGAAAUCACUGAACACUUGCCAUCCUUUCUUUUGAUUGUUACAUCACCAAUAGCUUGUAUUGCAAGACUGCUAUUGUCUGCAAACUUCACAUUGUGAUUCUGAAUAGCCUUUAGGCUUGUGAACCAGUCUUUCCUCCCUGUCAUGUGUGUUGUACAUCCAGUGUCAAGAUACCACUUCUCUUGAAAGUCACUUUCAUCUUUUGUAGUUACAAGAAGCAUAACUGAGCCUUCAUCAUCAUCAUCAUCAUC